rnacentral:rRNA from 1 species
AACGUAGGUGACGAGCGUUAUCCGGAUUUACUGGGCGUAAAGCGUGUGCAGGCGGGAUGGUAAGUGGUGUAUGAAAGCUCCGGGCUCAACUCGGAGAGGUUAUGCCAGACUGCCAACCUAGAGGUAGCAAGAGGGACAUGGAAUUCCGGGUGUAGUGGUGAAAUGCGUAGAGAUCCGGAGGAACUCCAGAGGCGAAGGCGGUGUCCUGGUGCUGACCUGACGCUCAGACACGAAAGCAUGGGGAGCGAACGGG